UUUCUCUGCAAAGCAGUAAAGUCAUGUAAGCAGAAACUUCACGAGAGAAUGGCCAUGUACCCUCUGCCUUCUGGGGUUUCCCACUGCCAUUCCCUGGCCCCCACCAGGCACCCCCUCGUCCAGCCGCAAUGGACUGUGUCUCCCCGGGAAGAGCUUUGUGCCAUGUUACCAAUGGUGCCUGGCGUUGGCCUGGACGGGGCACACAGGGUCUCACCUGAGCCUCCAGCCACCUGUGUGGAGUUCUGGCUCUGCUCUAUGCAGGGGACCCCCCAAAGAAACCAGUCGCCAUCAAGCUGGCCCUACAAUUAGCAGCAAGAGCCUGCUCCUCUCUGAAGCCCUGUGUCCCCAUCUGUCAAGUAAUGGCAUUCAACUACAAGAUCUCUGUCCCCAGCUCCAAUACUUUG